CCUACGGGGGGCAGCAGUGGGGAAUAUUGGACAAUGGGCGAAAGCCUGAUCCAGCCAUGCCGCGUGUGUGAAGAAGGCCGUCGGGUUGUAAAGCACUUUCAGUGGGGAAGAAAGCCUUGGGGCUAAUACCCUCGAGGAAGGACAUCACCCACAGAAGAAGCACCGGCUAACUCCGUGCAAGCAGCCGCGGUAAUACGGAGGGUGCGAGCGUUAAUCGGAAUUACUGGGCGUAAAGCGCGCGUAGGCGGUCUGAUAAGCCGGUUGUGAAAGCCCCGGGCUCAACCUGGGAACGGCAUCCGGAACUGUCAGGCUAGAGUGCAGUAGAGGAAGGUAGAAUUCCCGGUGUAGCGGUGAAAUGCGUAGAGAUCGGGAGGAAUACCAGUGGCGAAGGCGGCCUUCUGGACUGACACUGACGCUGAGGUGCGAAAGCGUGGGUAGCAAACAGGAUUAGAUACCCCAGUAGUC
rnacentral:rRNA from 1 species